rnacentral:rRNA from 1 species
CCUGGGAACUGCAUCUGAUACUGGCAAGCUUGAGUCUCGUAGAGGGGGGUAGAAUUCCAGGUGUAGCGGUGAAAUGCGUAGAGAUCUGGAGGAAUACCGGUGGCGAAGGCGGCCCCCUGGACGAAGACUGACGCUCAGGUGCGAAAGCGUGGGUAGCAAACAGGAUUAGAUACCCUGGUAGUCCACGCCGUAAACGAUGUCGACUUGGAGGUUGUGCCCUUGAGGCGUGGCUUCCGGAGCUAACGCGUUAAGUCGACCGCCUGGGGAGUACGGCCGCAAGGUUAAAACUCAAAUGAAUUGACGGGGGCCCGCACAAGCGGUGGAGCAUGUGGUUUAAUUCGAUGCAACGCGAAGAACCUUACCUGGUCUUGACAUCCACGGAAGUUUUCAGAGAUGAGAAUGUGCCUUCGGGAACCGUGAGACAGGUGCUGCAUGGCUGUCGUCAGCUCGUGUUGUGAAAUGUUGGGUUAAGUCCCGCAACGAGCGCAACCCUUAUCCUUUGUUGCCAGCGGUCCGGCCGGGAACUCAAAGGAGACUGCCAGUGAUAAACUGGAGGAAGGUGGGGAUGACUUGACGUCAUC